GACGAACGCUGGCGGCGUGCUUAACACAUGCAAGUCGAACGGAAAGGCCCAGCUUGCUGGGUGCUCGAGUGGCGAACGGGUGAGUAACACGUGGGUGAUCUGCCCCUGACUUCGGGAUAAGCUUGGGAAACUGGGUCUAAUACCGGAUAGGACAAUCGUUUAGUGUCGGUUGUGGAAAGUUUUUUCGGUUAGGGAUGAGCCCGCGGCCUACCAGCUUGUUGGUGGGGUAAUGGCCUACCAAGGCGUCGACGGGUAGCCGGCCUGAGAGGGUGGACGGCCACAUUGGGACUGAGAUACGGCCCAGACUCCUACGGGAGGCAGCAGUGGGGAAUAUUGCACAAUGGGCGCAAGCCUGAUGCAGCGACGCCGCGU
rnacentral:rRNA from 1 species